CCCUUAUUUACUUCCUCACUGUUCUUCUCUUUCGCGCUCUUCUCGCUCUCUCCCGCGGUAAAAGAUCAUCGGAGCUUCUCAUUCUCCGUUCAUCUUCCGCUUCUCUCAGCUGCUCCGCUCAAGCUUCCGACUGCUCCAUCUCUUCGGCUCUCAGCGAGAGCAGAAAUCAGCUCAUCAUCGCCAUUUUUGCUCCGUAAAGCUCGUCUGGAUAUGGAUUCGGACUCGUUGAAGUCAGUGCUCGACCUGCCUCCUCCGUUUCGAUCAAUUUUCGGUUUCAGGUACUUUAACUCGCUACAGAGCGAGUGCUUUUCCAUCUGCUACCAUUCCGACAUCAACAUGGUUGUUUCUGCACCUACUGGUAGCGGCAAGACGGUUCUCUUCGAGCUCUGCAUCCUGAGGCUACUGUCGAGGUUCAUGACUCAGGACAUGAGAUUCAUCCAUGCAAAAGGAACUCUGAAGACAAUCUACAUAGCUCCAUCCAAGGCUUUAGUCCAGGAGAAGCUCCGUGAUUGGAACAAAAGGUUUGGAUCAUGGGGAAUAAGCUGCCUGGAGCUGACCGGCGAUAACGAUGCAUAUAACACCCGUAAUCUACAAGAAGCAGACAUUAUUCUUACAACACCCGAGAAAUUUGAUGCAGUGACUCGGUACCGUAUAAAGGAUGGAGGAUUGAGCUUUUUCAGUGAUAUAGCACUUGUACUCAUUGAUGAAGUUCAUCUUUUGAAUGAUCCUCGUGGGGCGGCUCUGGAGGCAAUUGUCAGUAGAAUCAAAAUGCUUGCGCGAAACCCUGAUCUGAAACUAAGUCCUCUUGCACAUGUGCGUCUUCUAGCUGUUUCAGCCACAAUCCCGAACUUGGAGGACCUAGCCGAAUGGCUUAUGGUCCCCCCUCAAGGGAUGAAAAGGUUUGGGGAAGAAAUGAGGCCUGUGAAACUGACUACCAGAGUUUUAGGCUAUACUCCAGCCAAAAACGACUUUCUUUUUGAACAGCGCCUUCAAAACUUUGUUUUUGAUAUCCUCAUGCAAUUUUCAAAGGGAAAAUCUGCUCUAGUUUUUUGUUCUACGAGAAAAGGAGCACAGGAAGCUGCACAACGACUCACUCAGACGGCUCUUACCUAUGGUUACUCCAAUCCUUUCAUUAAUAGCAAGGAACAGCAAGAAAGGUUGAGGGAAGCUUCAUUGUCUUGCAGUGACAAGCAUAUGCAAUCUUACAUCCCUUAUGGAGUUGCAUAUCAUCAUGGAGGGCUCGGCUUGAAGGACCGCAACCUUGUUGAAGGUCUUUUUCUCAGGGGUGAUAUACAAGUUCUCUGCACCACCAAUACUCUUGCUCAUGGAAUCAACUUACCAGCCCAUACCGUGGUUAUCAAAUCUACACGAAAUUACAAUAAGGAAAAAGGCCUCUACAUGGAAUAUGAUAGGUCCACAGUAAUGCAGAUGUGUGGCAGGGCAGGGCGGCCACCCUUUGAUGAUACAGGCACUGUUAUAAUCAUGACUAGAAAAGAAACGGUCCAUCUUUAUGAGAAUAUGCUGAAUGGAUGCGAAGUGGUGGAGUCACAAUUGCUUUCGUGUAUGACUGAGCAUUUGACAGCUGAGAUUGUUCAACUAACCAUUUCUGAUAUAACGCGUGCAAUUGAAUGGAUCAAGUGCUCCUACUUGUACGUAAGGACAAAAAAGGACCCUGGGAAGUAUUCAGUCAGGAAAGGGAUUACAAAUGAACAAAUAGAGAAGCACAUGCAAGAGAUUUGUGUUCAAAAAGUGAACGAGUUAUCACAGCAUCAACUAAUUUGGAAUGAUGAAGACGGUUUUCUAUUGAAGCCAUUAGAGCCUGGGCGCCUGAUGACAAAGUACUAUUUGAGAUUCAACACAAUGAAGUACAUAAUGCAGGCUCCAGCAAGCUGUAGUUUAGAAGAUGCUCUUCGUAUUGUGAGCCAAGCGGAAGAAAUUGCUUGGAUACAGCUCAGACGCAAUGAGAAGAAGCUUCUGAACGACAUAAAUAUUGACAAAAACAGAAGGCUUCGGUUCCAUGUUCUUGGUGACAAAGGGAAACCUAAAAAGCGCAUUCAAACCACAGAAGAGAAGAUAUUUGUUCUGGCAAAUGACUUUUUGACUGGUGAUCCGUUAGUGCAUGAUCUAUCAAUGACCCAGGACAUGAACUCUAUAUGUUCAAAUGGGUGUAGAAUUGCCAAGUGCAUGAAAGAGUAUUUCAUACACAAGAAAAGCUACACAGGAGCCCUUAACUCAACUCUUAUUGCCAAGUCAUUAUACCAGAAGCUGUGGGACAAUAGCCAAUACUUGUUGAAGCAAUUACCUGGCAUCGGGAUGGUGACUGCAAAGGCACUGCAUUCCAUGGGAAUUGAUUCAUUUGAGAAACUAGCAGAGGCAGAUCCCAGGAAGAUAGAGAUAGUGACUGGUCGAAAAUAUCCAUUUGGUAAUCAAAUCAAAGAAUCUCUGCAGUCAUUACCCCCAAAAGUCGAGAUGGAAGUCAAGGAGAUAGACAACCAGAAACAAGGGAAAACAAAGCUCUUGAUAACACUGACUAGGCUAUCAGAGCCAGUCCAGUCAAGUAAAAGGCAUUAUGCUGACAUGGUUGUUGGUUCAGAAGAAGAUAAUCUAAUUCAUUUCCAUGAGAAAAUCAGAGUGGAUGAGUUCAACAGCCCUUACAAUGCAACAGUUCUCUUGUCACACUCUCUCAAGGGAAAUUUGACCGUUAAGGCUGAUCUAAUCUUCGAAGAAUACCUUGGUGUCGAUGUUCACAAGAAGCUUGUGUUGAAGGAGACCAAUGCAAAUUCCAAUCCAAGAAGCAAAAACAAGCAGUCCUUUCCCUCUUCUGAGCCUAAAGUGGGCACACUUAAGAAUUCGGGUGAAUCCAAAAGAAUGCAAAGUUCUGCGCUGCCGAGCUUUAACCUCAUAGAUGAAGAACUCCCCGAAGGUACUGAAGGCAGGCUUGCAAUUGAAGCCGAAGAUGAAGACUGCAAAAUCAUAUCUGAGAGUACCGUGUUUGAUCACAUUCGUGAAAAGGCAAAAUCUUUCCCUGUCUUGUCCACUUCAAACAACUUGCAUCCCCUGUCAUCUCAGUUCUUAAAUCUCACAAGAAAGCGCAGUCGAGACAAGCUACUCGAACCUCACUGUGAGAUAGUUCUGUUAGAGGAUUUUGCAGACAAUAUCCCUAAACAGAGUGCUUUCAGUCCCUUGCGUGAGCCCUCGGAAACUGUCAAGAGUGGAUUCAACAUCGACAGCACCGGUGAUUCUGAUUCAAAGCAAUCUAUUGGAAACGAAGGUGGAUCCUCAUUGGAGAUGAAACGAGGUGCCCCAAACAAGCCCUUAACUGAAGAGAUGAUUUUUGAUCUUAUCAGAAAAAAAUCAAAGAACUUUCCGGUGCUCAAUGGACUAAAGGUCACAGACUCCGAGCCUGAGCCUUUCCUUGGGAUGGAGGAUGGCUUAUUUGACGGAAUGCAGCCUGAUCAUACCAUGUCCAAGGAGGUGCAUUCUCGUAAAAUGCUGAGAAUCUCUCCUAACAUUCCGAGCUUGGACCUCAUCGAGAAACUGUACCCAUCAGUUGUUUCGAGAACAAGUUUGGAUACCUUACCUAAGGACACGGUUUGUCUCGAUAAUUCCAUGGUCAACAAGAAGAGCUCGUUGGGGAUGGAAUUAGGAGCCUCCCCGGAGGUAAAGAAGAAGCGGAAACGUUCUCCUAAAGAACAAGAAAGCUAUGGAAAUUUGUCUGGAAUGGCGGGGAAAACCGCAGAAGUCAAUUCGUUUCUCGGGUUCAAAAGUGUCUUCUCAUUCCUUUGAUGCUUCAUUCGAUCCUCAGAAAGUCAGAAACUGGAAAGUCAUGGAGAUGAAGAAAGAGGGAUGAGAAAUGAAGUGAGCUAAUGCUGAUCCUUGCAUAUCAGUCUGUUUAGCCAACUCUUAUAUGUUCCUCCUCUCCAUCCAAUAUCAACUUGCUCCGCGACAUCGGGUGGUUUAUCCUUGUAAUCCGUCUUAGGCGUAGCAAGCAUGUUUUAAUCAGCGUCUCGAUCAGCUCUUGGGUGCUGUGGCCGCUGCUUGUAACUUCCCGGCCGCAACUGCAUCCUAUUCACAUGAAGGAGCCUACUCUGGGAGAAAGUCUUGUAUCCAUCCAACGGCGGUACCAUGCGGCACACAAGGCCUUCUCCUACUCUGGACAUAUACCCACAUUUACAUUUCUUUCUCAUAGUUGGCAACUUUGUCCAAAAGGAAAAAGCCCCUUAUGGUAAUUCUAUAGAGUAGAUACACGAUCCCCAGUGAUGGCUGAUCACGUAAAGCCUUUAUGUUCUUUAUCCUGACUGGUUGCAAGACGUGGCAGGCAUGCAAAGCUUCCUCAUAAAAAUUGCCCGAAAUUAUAUAA